AGAGUUUGAUCCUGGCUCAGGAUGAACGCUAGCUACAGGCUUAACACAUGCAAGUCGAGGGGAAACGACAUCGAAAGCUUGCUUUUGAUGGGCGUCGACCGGCGCACGGGUGAGUAACGCGUAUCCAACCUGCCCACCACUUGGGGAUAACCUUGCGAAAGUAAGACUAAUACCCAAUGAUAUCUCUAGAAGACAUCUGAAAGAGAUUAAAGAUUUAUCGGUGAUGGAUGGGGAUGCGUCUGAUUAGCUUGUUGGCGGGGUAACGGCCCACCAAGGCUACGAUCAGUAGGGGUUCUGAGAGGAAGGUCCCCCACAUUGGAACUGAGACACGGUCCAAACUCCUACGGGAGGCAGCAGUGAGGAAUAUUGGUCAAUGGACGAGAGUCUGAACCAGCCAAGUAGCGUGCAGGAUGACGGCCCUAUGGGUUGUAAACUGCUUUUAUAAGGGAAUAAAGUGAGUCUCGUGAGACUUUUUGCAUGUACCUUAUGAAUAAGGACCGGCUAAUUCCGUGCCAGCAGCCGCGGUAAUACGGAAGGUCCGGGCGUUAUCCGGAUUUAUUGGGUUUAAAGGGAGCGUAGGCCGGAGAUUAAGCGUGUUGUGAAAUGUAGACGCUCAACGUCUGCACUGCAGCGCGAACUGGUUUCCUUGAGUACGCACAAAGUGGGCGGAAUUCGUGGUGUAGCGGUGAAAUGCUUAGAUAUCACGAAGAACUCCGAUUGCGAAGGCAGCUCACUGGAGCGCAACUGACGCUGAAGCUCGAAAGUGCGGGUAUCGAACAGGAUUAGAUACCCUGGUAGUCCGCACGGUAAACGAUGGAUACUAGGUGUGCGGGGACUGACCCCCUGCGUGCCGCAG
rnacentral:rRNA from 1 species